rnacentral:rRNA from 1 species
UACAGAGGUCUCAAGCGUUUGUUCGGAUUCAUUGGGCGUAAAGGGUGCGUAGGUGGCGCCGUAAGUCGGGUGUGAAAUUUCGGAGCUCAACUCCGAAACUGCAUUCGAUACUGCGGUGCUUGAGGACUGGAGAGGAGACUGGAAUUCAUGGUGUAGCAGUGAAAUGCGUAGAGAUCAUGAGGAAGACCAGUGGCGAAGGCGGGUCUCUGGACAGUUCCUGACACUGAGGCACGAAGGCCAGGGGGAGCAAACGGG